AGUGAACGCUGGCGGUAGGCCUAACACAUGCAAGUCGAACGGCAGCACAGUAAGAGCUUGCUCUUACGGGUGGCGAGUGGCGGACGGGUGAGGAAUACAUCGGAAUCUACUUUUUCGUGGGGGAUAACGUAGGGAAACUUACGCUAAUACCGCAUACGACCUACGGGUGAAAGCAGGGGAUCUUCGGACCUUGCGCGAUUGAAUGAGCCGAUGUCGGAUUAGCUAGUUGGCGGGGUAAAGGCCCACCAAGGCGACGAUCCGUAGCUGGUCUGAGAGGAUGAUCAGCCACACUGGAACUGAGACACGGUCCAGACUCCUACGGGAGGCAGCAGUGGGGAAGAUUGGACAAUGGGCGCAAGCCUGAUCCAGCCAUACCGCGUGGGUGAAGAAGGCCUUCGGGUGGUAAAGCCCUUUUGUUGGGAAAGAAAAGCAGCAGGUUAAUACCCCGCUGUUCUGACGGUACCCAAAGAAUAAGCACCGGCUAACUUCGU
rnacentral:rRNA from 1 species